UCAUCUUUUUCCUUCUCCUUCUACACCAACUUUUAUUCAAUUCUCAUAUUUCCUUAUCUGAUUUCCGUAAUCACAAAUGAAAGUAAAUGUUUUUUUUUUUCAAGCAAUAAAAAAGGUAUGGAGUCAAAGUCUUUUUCUUGUACUCCAUAUAUAACUGAAAAAUGCGUGGUCCACUUUUAAAAACUGUUAAAAUGCCUUCAUUGCAUGAUAUCCAACCGUUGUUCAUUCACAUUAUCUCCCUCACUUGGCUUUCCUCCAAACGUCACCUAAAACCAAAGUAAUCCCCGCACCCCACCCCCACUCUUUAAAUUAAAAAUAUCAGUAAUCUCUACUAUAUAAGAAGACACUUGUUUUGUAGUCAGUGCUUACUAACAUAACUCAAAUUCCUUUUUAGCCUUUCUCACCCUUGUAGCCUUGUAGAAUUUUGCUCUACUUUUUGGGUGCUAUUAAUAAAUUGAGAAGAAAAAUGAUGGGGUUUGAGAGACUAAUGGUGAAUUUGAAGACGAAAUUGAGGAGGUCCUUUAAAAUGAAGGAAUCAUACGACAAGAUUGAGAAGAGUGAAAGCAUGAGAGUGGAGAUUAGGAGCAAGAAGGCUCGUAAGCUCAUUGAACAGACUCUUAAAAUUGCUGAUUCCCCCAAAUCCAGAAGCUAUCCUUUCUAGUAUACUCCUAAUAAUCUCUUUACUACCUUGUAAUCACAAAUUUCCUGUCAUCUUUUAUGAUAAGAAAUCAAACUAAAUGCACAAGUUUAGUGGAA